rnacentral:snoRNA from 1 species
CAGGUUCGUUUACCUUGGCCAAUUCAAUAUCGCAAUAAGUAAAUAAAGCUUUAAACUUAGCAGGGAAAUUAGUGUUUCUCUUCUUCCUGCCAGUCUAAACAUAG